UCAGAGAGAGGAAGUAAAUUGCUCAGGUUCACUCAGCUAGGAAGCAACAGAUCAGGAUUCGAGCCCAGUCCAAAAUCAUAAUUCACUCCCUUGAAAAGCCAAAAGAGAGAGAGAACAGGGCCAGACGGGGUGGCGUCAGGAGGGUUGUGGGUCCCCUGGCUGCUGUGCAGAGCUUACAUCGGGCGCUCAAAGGAGCCCGAGCCAACCACUGCCCAAGAGAUUCUACCAAGAUGAAAAUGGUUCCUCCCCAGCCACAGUUCCAUCACCUGCGUGAUGGGACGAGAGACUGGAUCAGGUGUUCUCCACAGCCGGUUAUGAAGUGAUCCCAGGCCUGGGUCUCCUGAUGAGUCCAUCUGACUUCCACUCUCCAGCACCCCCAGGGUUUACUGCUUCCAUCCUGCUGACAGCCAUAUGCUCUUCUCUGGCUGAUUCAAGGUCAACGAGAAGAAUGCCUGGGAGUUGGCUGGACCUGCUUUGUGUCUCUGCUUUAUGCUGUACAAGCUGCAUGUCCUUGGGCUAACGUCUUCACCUCUCUGGGCCUUGGUUCUUUCAACCAUGGUUGUGGAGAUGGCAAAACCUGAUCUUAGCCUUUUUUGAGGACUAAGUGAGUUAAUACAUGUAAAAUACUUAAAGCAGUAAGCCCCUUUUUGUUGUUGUUUGUUUGUUUCUUGAGAUGAAAUCUCGCUCUGUCACCCAGGCUGGAGUGCAGUGGUGCGAUCUCGGCUCACUGUAACCUCCGCCUCCCAGGUUCUAGCGAUUCUACUGCCUCAGCCUCCCAAGUAGGCCCUUUUGAAGCACUCAGCAAAUGGUGGCUUUUAUUAUUAUCUGAAACAUUAAUUUCCUUAAGAAAUUAUACUGUGUAGUAUCUCUUGGAAUUAAAUAGGGAGAAAUGUCCCCAAAAUCAUUAAAUAAAUAACACAACUUAGAAAACUGCAGUUUCACCAACCUAAAUUCUCAUGUUUUGCUUUGAAAUGUUGAAUACUGUUUUUUUUGUUUUUUUUUUAAGGCAGAAUUUCACUCUUACUGCCCAGCUUGGAGGGCAACGGCGCCAUCUUGGCUCACUGCAACCUCUGCCUCCCAGGUUCAAGUGAUUCUCCUGCUUCAGCCUCUCGAGUACUUGUGAUUACAGGCAUGCGCCACCACGCCCGGCUAAUUUUGUAUGUUUUUUUAGUACAGACGGGAUUUCACCAUGUUAGUCAGGCUGGUCUCAAACUCCUGACCUCAGGUGAUCCACCCACCUUGGCCUCCCAAAGUACUGGGAUUACAGGUGUGAGCCACUGCUCCCAGACAGAAACAUUAAAGUCUUUACUCACAUAGGCAGAAGAGCUAGGGCAGAGGUGAGAGGUUUGGGGCAAAUAUUUCCUGCUUCUCACCCUGGUGGACAUACCAAGUCAACCUUCGCUCUGAGAACACCUAGACAUGGCCUAGAAAGAUGAGCUGAAAUUUGAAGUUGCCCUCAGGCUUUGAGGUGGGACUCUAAUAACCAUGAUUAAUGCAUUCAGGGAAUAACAUGACAAGAAUGUCAGCAGAAAACUAGGAACUAUAAAAAAGAAUCAUAUGGAAAUUCCAGAACUGAAAAAUAUGAUACUGAAAUUAAGAUUUGCAGUUAUUAAAAUCACAGACUGUGAGCCACACUGCCCAGGUUUAAGUCCAGGCUCCAGUCUCUGCCAUGUACAAUGCCACACCUGUUUCUUUCUUUCUGUUUUUUUUUUUAAUCGAUGUAAAACUCACAUAACACAAUAAAUUAUUUUGAAAUGUACAAUUUGGCCAGGCGCGGUGGCUGUCUCUACUAAAAGUACAAAAAAUACAAAAAGUACAAAAAUUAGCCAGGUGUAGUGGCAGGUGCCUGUAAUCCCAACUACUCAGGAAGCUGGGGCAGGAGAAUCACUUGAACCCGGGAAGCAGAGGUUGCAGUGAGCUGAGAUCGUGACACUGCACUCCAGCCUGGGCGACAAGAGCAAGACUCUGUCUCAAAAAAAAAAAAAAAAAAUAUGGCUGCGUGAGGUGGCUCACGCCUGUAAUCCCAGCACUUUGGGAGGCCAAGGCAGGCGGAUCACAAUGUCAGGAGUUGGAGACCAGCCUGAUCAACACGGUGAAACCCCAUCUCUACUAAAAAUACAAAAAUUAGCCAGGCGUGGUGGCGCACGCCUGUAAUCCCAGCUACUCGGGAAGCUGAGGCAGGAGAAUUGCUUGAACUAAGGAGGCAGAAGUUGCAGUGAGUUGAGAUUGCGCCACUGUACUCCAGCCUAUUUAUUAAAAAAAUAAUAAUAAAAUAAAAUAAACACAUAAUAUGUGACUUUUUUUGUUUGGCUUCUUUCACUUAGCAUGUUUUUCAGGUUCAUCCAUGUUGUAGCAUGUAUCAGUAUUUCAUUCCUUUUUGUGGCUGAAUAAUAUUUCAUUGUAUAGCUAUACCAUGUUUUGUUUAUCCAUUCAUCCAUUGAUGAACAUCUGGGUCGUUUCUGUGUUUUGGCUAGUAUGAAUAAUGUUGCUAUAAACAUUCGUGUACAAGUUUCUGUGUGUGCAUACAUUUUCAUUUCUUGGGUACAUACCUGGGUGUGGAGUAAGUCUUUGUUCCUUUUU
rnacentral:lncRNA from 1 species